rnacentral:rRNA from 1 species
UACGGAGGGGGCUAGCGUUGUUCGGAAUUACUGGGCGUAAAGGGCGCGUAGGCGGCGCGAUAAGUUGGGCGUGAAAGGCCCGGGCUCAACCCGGGGACUGCGCUUGAUACUGUCGCGCUGUGAGUCCGGGAGAGGAUGGCGGAAUUCCCAGUGUAGAGGUGAAAUUCGUAGAUAUUGGGAAGAACACCGGUGCGAAGGCGGCCAUCUGGACCGGCACUGACGCUGAGGCGCGAAAGCGUGGGAGCAAACAGGG